AAUCCCAUUUACUACCAUAUUAUGAAAAUAGCUAUUAUCGUCCUUGCAUUAUAAUAAAUUCAAUGAAAAUAUGAGUGUAUCAGUCAGGUAUCGUUUUGAGAAUAAAUCCAUGCACGAUGAUCGUGUUAUACUUACGCACUAGAUGUGAUCGGCUGCGGCUCGUAUUGGAAACACGAUGUGUACGUAAGGUAACAUUACGGUGCAGGUGCAUCGAACCAGAUAUUCUUUGUACUUUGAUCUUCAGACAAUAUAAAAAAAUCGAAAAAUGUUUGACGUCCCAGUACGACAGAAAAAUCCGUAUGAAAGUAUCUUUAAUACCUUUAGAGCAAAAAUGACUUUCAUUUCGGUGACACAUGAAAUGGUUUCGUUUUAAAAUCAAAGUACAAAAAAUGCUUUUCCUAACGAGCGUUGAAAUAUCUCGACUGCGUUGUGUACUUUCAACGUCGUUUAGGAAAAACGUUGUUCCUAACUUAUGCUAAAAGGAUUCGAUUCCAUCAGAACUCACCCUCGGCUCGUGGCUGGAAACCUCCCAUUAGCUAAAAAAGCCUUUUAGGAUGCGUUAGGAAAAUAACUAUUUCGUAAUUGAUUUACUUUCGUAUUUCGUUCGGAAAUCAACGAAAACCGAACGAAAAUUCAUUUAUUUGUAGUGCAUAACUCUCAACCAUUCAAUUUGCUGUUUGAAUUGGAGAUUAUACGAUUGCUCGUUGAACGAUCAUUCGGUUUGCUUAGUUGAAAUUUAAUUAGAAUUUAAACGAAUGAGCAGUCAUGUUACUUAAUGAAGUAAAUUACUAGGAAAACGACCGAUCUACAGUUAAAGUCAACCAGAUGUGAGUAAGCUGUUUUGCCAACUGAUCCCCUCAUACAAAAACACACUGUUCAAACGUUUAGCCUCGCGCAUGCGAAUGCAAGUAGUAAAGCUGUAGAAACACGUAUAUGACUCAUGUCACAUUUAUUCAAUUUUGUGUCUUCUGCAAUCAAUGCAUGUAAAACACAACAAAAUUAGACAAAAAAUUAUGUUUCUCAAUUGAAUGCAUUAUGUACAAGUGGAAACUGUAAUGGAGUGAAAGAGAAAACUAUAUUUUCGACUACAGCGGAUUGAGUGAUACUAACUAGCGCGCUUUAUUGUGUGGCUCAGCUGAAGAAAAUUGCGAUGUAAAUUUGGUUGACUGUAACUGUACAAAAAUCGAGAAAAAUAAAAAGGCAGCGCAAGAAUACUCUCAUUGCAGAGACAUUAUUGAAACAAAUAAUUUUUUUUUCUGUAAAGUCAAAAAGCUUUUAGUGACUAGAAAGGGUAAAAUUUAACAUUUUGAAAAUAUGAUCGAAAUGUGAAAAUUUAUUACCAAAAUGUUAAACUUUAUUCGCAAAGUUCACUUUUAGUUGAAUAGAAAAAAAAACAAAUAAACAAAAAAAUCUCGUUAUUUCAGUCUGGGUUAUAGGCUUAUUGAAUAUAUAAAUGAAAAGAAAACCAAAUUGUAUAAAUGAAUGUUUUCCUUUGUCGAUCAAAUUAUUACUUUGUGAAGAAGACAGACAAAUCCCAUGUUAAUUUUCGAAAAAGAAAAGAAUUCAAAAAAAAAGUACAGACACAAAGCAUAACUGACUGAUUUUAUGUUAAAAUUAUUAAAGAAAAAAAAGAGAAAUUAAGAAAUGGAGCAAAGAAGAAAAUAUAUUUAUUGUACUCCACUCAUUAGAUAGGCAGAAAUAUUGACAAUUAUGGAAUGAUUUUUUAGAAAAUAUAAAUGAAAACUAUGCAGAGUGUUUUUUUGAAGAUGAAACUUAAGAUGAAGAAUAAUGAAGCAGAAGAAAAACCAAUGAAAAUUAAAUGUUUCGGCAAAGCCGUUUUUAUAUAGAGAGCUUAUACCCGCAUACAGAUUUUUCAAAAACAAAAAAAAAGAGACAAAAAAAACAUUUCAAAGUACUUUGACUUAAAUAAUCAAUAUUUUCAAAUUAAAUAAAAACAAAAAGAUGAAAAAAAAAAUGCAAAAGAAGUAUAAUGAAGAACAUAUAUCAUUUUGAACUUUUAAUAUUUAUGUAUAUGGAAGCUUAUUGCGCUGACUGUGGGUAUAUUAUAGAUAAAAUAUUAAUAUAGUCUAUUAGAGUUUUACUAAGAAGAAAGAAAAAGAAGAAGAAGAAGAAGAAGAAACACAGAAAUAAAAGAAGAAAAGAAGAAAAUAUGCCCUGUACAUAUCGAUUUUUUUAGACACAACGGUCAAUUCCUCGAAAUUCAAUUGUUUUAUAAAUAAAAAAAAAUAUAAAUUAAAGAUUUUAAUUAAGUAAAUAGUA